GGGAGAGAGGGUUGUAAUAAAGAGCAAAACUUGAGUUAGACAUGACACUAAAAUUUCUGUGACAGACUGGGGCAAAAGCGCCUUAUCUAUUGGGGGUUCUAACAAGUAGAAAUGACCAGAAAGGACUCUUUCCAGAAUUAGUAAAUAUUGGAAGCUAGAGGAGGUAGGAAGUGGCUUCAUGGCAACACUGCAGCUGUGCUUUUCAUGAUCAUUAAUGGAUCUGAUGGAAUAAGACAGUGGAAAAUGGAGGAGGAAGGGGCACACAGGAAGACAAAGUGCGCUGAAAGAAGAAAGAAGCCUAGAAAAUAGCACAGAAUACUGAGAGACACAGAAGAGAACACGAAGAGAUUGCAAUGGGACUGGGACUUGGAACCACUUUCUGUACAUGUUGUUUUAAGUAUUAAUUUUUGUGUAAAUGGCAUAUAAGAUCCUCAUCCACCAUCUACAUAAAAGAUUGUGGUGCCAAACAGGACUGCCCCGUGUGGGCUUUGUUUCCAAGUCAGCUUUCUCACAAGCAUCUCUCCAUUUUCUGACAAAUGAACGGAACAAGUUCAUUGGAACAAGGAGGGUGUAUUGUCUCUAUUUGCCGUUGGCUGGUUUGCUUCCUUGGGGGACUUAAUGAAGGAGCAGCAUUUGGACAGGAGGGAAAGAGCUUUGGAGUUGUCAAAAAGCACUAGUUAAAAAGCUUCAAACUGGGUCUUGCCAGUGUGUAACUGCUGUGGAAGAAAACAUUUGAAAACAAAACAUGCAUUUUUAAUAAAUGGAGACAUAAAAGUUAUUUUUAUUUGAUCUGAGCCUGACAUUAUUCUGUGCUUCUAAAUUCCUUUGGAUACACUAGAAGUUUCAAUUCCCAUGUCAUCUUCAGAGUGCUUUGAGGAAUGUGAAUAUUGUGCAAUUAUCUUUUGGAUGAAUGGAAAGAAAAGGUGACAGAUCAUCCUGCCUGGGCUCUGAAGAACGGAGACGUUGUCAUCUGUCUGGUCCCCCUCACAUUCCCUGUCAGCCUCACCGCAUCCGGGUGGCAUGUCACAGUCAUCGGAGCAAGAGGAAUACAGCCGUGUAAACAUCAGCUUGGGAGCCGAGUCAAUCAAACACGGGACUCUAACUGCACAGAAGCCCUUUGCUGCCGGAAAAGAAAAGCACUCAGAGAGAAAGAAAUGCCUUUCAGUGGCCUGUUUCUGCUUCCGCUGCUGCUACUUAUUUCUUAAUUGAAUUUAACAGGUUGUGGGUUUUGUUGAAAGGGAAAAGUCAUAAUUUUUCCCCAUCAAGAGUAGGGGACUUAACACAAAUCUCGCUGUUUUAGAGCUGAUCAAUAGUUAUUGGAUUUGCCCAAUCAGCCAAAGGAGAGGAGAGGCAAAUCAAAGCCAUAGGCCACAAGGACUCUUACAGAGCUUUACAGCCUCCACCAAGAUGAAAGUUAGGCAAGUUGCAAGAAACGACAACAAAGGAGAUGAUGAAACAUCUCCUCGGCUGAGCUCAAGUGGCAUUUGGAAGAAUAAUUUGGAGGGUUGUUCCAAAACAAAUAAUGAACCAUGUAUUAAAAUAAACAAAGUCAUAAAAAUGUCAGGAGGAAUGCCAGAAUAAUAAUGACUUCCCAGUGAGAGAGAAAAGUCAAAGGAGGAUAAUGCAACCUCUUCCUGAAUGAAAACAGCCAGUGCUCUCUGUCCCCAUGGACUUUCCAUCUCCUUCUGGAUACGGCUUAAGAAGCUUUUGGAGCUGCCAUUUUAGAAGCUGUCUUUCAUGGUACAUAAGGAGAAAAAGUGGAUGGAUCCUUCCCUUGUUCUGUUAAAAAAGUAACUGUCCACCAUCACAUAGCUUUCUCAUGUAUCUGCAGUGCAUGUGGAAAGACUCUUAUGAGGAAGGUACCUUCUGCUGAGAUUUCCUGAAUACCCUGACCCUCACCUUGGGAGCAGCCAUUGACAAAACUUGUACUAUGGGAGGCCCUUUGGCUAAGCAUUGAUGAUUUCUGAAAAUGGGGUCGCUUUGUUAUUUCUCUGUCAAAAGGACUUAUGUAACUAUCCAGCAGUAUAAAGCAUCAGAGUAAUAGUACCGAUGAGUCCAGAAUUAUCCCAAACCAUAGGGAUUCUGAGGCAACAACAAUUGCAGAGUUCAUAUGUAGCAUUAAACUAAAAGCCACUGAACACUGAGUUGAUAUCCUAUCCCUAGGUUCCUUGAUCUACCACUGAAGACCCUGAAAGUCCUGGUCCCAGCCUAAAUUUUCAGCCACAUUUCUUUUUCUUUUCUUUCUUUCUUUCUUUUUUUUUUAGAUGAAGUUUCACUCUUGUUGCCCAGUCUGGAGUACAAUGGCACAAUCUUGUCUCACUGCAACCUCCACCUCCCGGGUUCAAGCGAUUCUCCUGUCUCAGCCUCCCAAGUAGCUGGGAUUAUAGGCACCCACCACCACGCCUGGCUAAUUUUUGUAUUUUCAGUAGAGAUGGGGUUUCACCAUGUUGGACAGGCUGGUCUUGAACUCCUGGCCUCAGGUGAUCCACCUGCCUCAGCCUCCCAAAGUACUGGGAUUACAGGCCUGAGCCACCACAGGUGGCCUACACUAUUUUUAGGAAACUAUAUUACUAUCAGUGGCCUGUACUUUCCUGUAUUUGGGAUAUUGCUUUUAUUACCCCCACCCCUGGAAUAUGUCUCAUCUUUCCAUGUAUCCAUCAAACAUACACACUGGCCUAGAAAUUCCAUUUCUAGACAUUCAUCAGCAAGGAAACAAAUUUCCUUCAAGAUUCUCUUUUCAGUAUGUUUACAAUAAAAAAAAGAUAGCAACCCCAAAUUCUCAACAUUAUAUAAUACUUAAAUAAAUUAUAAUACAUCCAUAUGUAAUAAUGUAGUAUUCAGGCAAUAAAAAAUGAUACCAUAGAUUAAUAUUGAUUCUCAUGGAAUAAUAUUCAUGAUAUAUAUUUUUGAUGGAGAAAAAUAAGCUACAGAACCAACCUGUACAAAUGGUUUUGCUUUUAUAAAAAGCAACAUAUCUAUAUAUGUAUAUAUUCAUUUAUAUCCAUAUUCAUAAUUUUAUUGAGAGUGUAGAAAUACACACCAAUGUAUACAUGUGUUAUUUAUGGAUCAAGAAAUUGUUUUGUGUGUAUGCAUGUCAUUUAAUUUUACAACCUUUCAAAAGUAAACAUGAAUUACCUCGAUAUAGAAAAUAAUUUUAAUGUAAACUAUCCUUCAAACUCUAGCUCAAAUGCCUUUCUUCCCACACAAAGCUUUACCUAAAACUUCAUCAGUAAGCUCUUCUUUUUCUGAACUCUAUCUGUAUCUAUUUUAUGCCGUUUAAAUUUCAUCUUGGGUUAAAUACAUUCGUGUAUUAUUAAAAUAUAAACUGCAUGAGAGUAGCAGUCCUUUCUAAUUUAUUCUUGCAUGUAAACUUGUAGCAAAUGUUUACAAAUAUCCAUUGUAUGAAUAAAUAUUGUGUGCCUAAUCAGUAAUUCUAAAAUUUAGCUGCAUAUCAGAAUUACUUUGAAAGUGUUUUAAAAGCACAGAGUCCUGGGCCUAUCAAUGCUUUUAGGUCAGAGGUGGAGAAUUACGGUCCUACCGUUCCUCCUAGACAAUUCCAGUUUAAUCUAGGAAAUUAUCCUUCCACCUGGCAUGCUCAUACUACCUGUCCACAUACUUGAGCUUUGGGUCGUUAACGCCCUGAAUUAAUUCCUGCCCUUGCAAAAAGUAUAUAAGCAAUCAUUAACUGAUCAGACUUAAUAAUCAAAGUGCCCGGAAUAUUACAAGUGUUUUAACAAAUGUUUGUUAAAUGAAUAGUUAUAUUCUUCUGCCAUGUUCCUAAGAGCUUGUACUUGUGACUUCCUCCAGAGUUCUCUCUCUGAUUGCCUUGAUUUGCCCCUUUUCUGUCUCCCCGAUACUCCUCUAAUUGUCUUCUUGAGAGCUGAUUCACCUCUUAGCCUGAUCAUAAUAUUUUUGUAAGUACAGAUUUUUCAGCCAGGUUGGCACAGGAAAAUUAGCUGUGCACAUGAAGGAAGCUUCAAGAUCAACAUCAAAAGUUCUUCGGUGGGUAAUGGGAUCUGGGGUUGAGUACUUAGUAAUGGGAUUAAUCCAUGAUCUGAGAGGUGAGUCAGGGGCAGUUGGGAGCAGUGAAAAUCAUUAUCUGGUGGUAGAGAGAUGGGAAGAGAAGGAAAUCUAAAAAAGGAUAUUCCAACAGCAUUAAUUCAGGGAGAGAGCUGCACAUUGGGUACAUGGCAAUUCCAUCAAGAACAUUUAAGUAGGGAGACAGUUCAAAGAAUUUGUCCGUAUACUUUCUCUGCCCAUUUGUCAUUGUCACUUAUUGUCACUGUUGUUUAUAAGCUUUGCUCUUCACUCAUCAUUUCUCCUAACCUUUCACUUGCCUGGUCCUAAAUCCCAGGAUCCUUUCAAUUCUCUGGCAUGUCUUAGUCAGUCCAGUCCUAGGAGUCAUUGUAUGUAUCUGACCAUAGAAAAGAUUGAGGUAGAAGGUGCUGAUGGGAAGAUAAACAAAAUAUGAAAUUGAACAUGAAUUGGUCUUUAGACCAUUGCAUUGCUAUAAAUCACCCUUCACCUGUGUAAUCAUUAUAUUGAAACAAUAUAGCACAUACAGUGUCAUCUAUUGCAACGUUAUCUAACUGCAAAUCCUUCUCUGUAGAGGUCAAAUUUACCUUUUCUGGGUACUCAUGAAUUGUAGGUUUUUAAAAGCCCAUUAGCAAGCACUGAGAUCUGUCGUCUCAAGUUUUCUAUUUGAAACCAAUAUAUGUGGCAAAAAUAUGUUCCAAUUUUUAUUUUUAGUAACAAUGAAGAAGAUAAUUUGGUAGUUAGAAUGUGUGUGGAUGUGCAUUAAUAUCAUUACCGCACUUUUGACUUUCCAAAUGUGCCCUGUUUUUAAUUGAAAUAAAACCACUAUCA
rnacentral:lncRNA from 10 species